UCCCCGCUACGGCUUCCGAUUUUAUAGAGCCUCCGAACCCUUCGUAAUCUCAAAUAUACACAAUAUAUAUAAUAUAAUGUAGAAAGACUUUUUACAUUAGUUUAGUUCAGUAUCUCCUAAACUAAGCUUCUUUCUGGCUCCAUCCCUGACACUAAGCACGCAGCAGCAAAUUCUGGAGGCAACAAGCUCAGAGGGGAAAAGGAUCAAACAGAAGACCGCAUGCAGGGCAUACUUUUAAGUUGCCACAUCCUAGUGGCCUAUCGAGAUACCAUCGAAGACAAGAAAUAACGUUAACCAAAAAAAUUAUUAAAGCUUAUUCAGUUAUAAUCACAUAUGGAUUGAAUACGAUUAGAAAAAAAUGUGAAAGAUUUAGACUUAUUUAGGAUUUAAAGACACUCAAGUACAUCCAAUCCACACGGAUUUAGAGCAAAACGAAAAACCUUAUCAAGACGUUAGGCUGAUGGUUUAGGAAGAUCGGAGCGGAGCACAUCGAGCCUAUGGUCGGUAUGUGGUUAUGAUUGUAGAAAAAAAAAGAGAUAUAUAUAAGCCCGUUUAGCAGGGCUUCCACACACCGGCUUAAGCUACAACUUUACGUUAAAAUACACAGCAUCAACAUCUCCAAAUGACUAGUUAAAUGGCUCAUCAAGUCAAAAUUUAUCUACUCAACAGCAAAAUAAAUGUUGGACUGUAGAUGCUACAUAUAGAAUAUAAUCUUUAUAAAAAUGUAAAUAGAGAGUUAAAAAUUAAGAGUGGUUUAAAGUCGUACCAAACGUCCAACCACAUUUUGACAUAGGCCUUUUGGUAAAAAAACCUUUUCUAUUACAUCGGUAAAACCUAAAAAGAGUGGCUUAACCAGACAUGUUUUAUUUUGCAAAACAGCCUAGAAGUCUGUCUCGAAAAAAAGCUGCUUGCACGGAAAGCCCAAGCCAAAGAGUCCCGUAAUACUGUAAGAAGCACAAUCGAAAGUAGAAAGCCGAAAACCAGUUCUGGAUCCCCAGGCGCAAAGAGAAUACUCAGAAACUACAGUAUACACCAACACUGGAAGCAGAACAAUCGAGCAAAGAGAAAGGUAACCAAAGAAACUUCAUGCAUUGGAUGCAAUUCAACCAUUCCAAACCAACUUAUUGAUAAUUAAUACUAGAAAGUAGAGAGACAUGAAAGCAUAGAAAAUACAGGGUCCAGAAUGUAACCACAGAUAAUGAUAAGUCAGGUAGGUACGACACCCAGCAACCCCUUGCACGCUAUAGCAAAAGCCAGCUCAAGCCAGGUGAAUGUCUCGGUAGCAAUCCUUUGGUGAUACACUUCUUUUCCGAUUUAAGUUGAGAUAGAGUAGGGUUCCGUCUCCAAAGCCAAGGAAGUUACUUGGGGCCAACAUCCUUCAGCGCGCAGAUCUGCUCCUCCC
rnacentral:lncRNA from 1 species